rnacentral:tRNA from 1 species
GGGAAAAUAGCUCAGUGGUAGAGCAUCGGUUGCUUAACUCAAAGGUCGCGGGUUCGAUCCCCGGUUUCCCCG